GACGAACGCUGGCGGCGUGCCUAACACAUGCAAGUCGAGCGAACGGACCAGAAGUUUGCUUGUCUGAUGUUAGCGGCGGAGGGGAGAGUCACAUGUGGAUAACCUACCUACCAGACUGGGAUAAUUAUGGCAAACCGGAUCUUAGACCGGAUGAUAUUUUGCACCGCGUUGUGCAAAAGUGAGAUUCGGUCUUUCUGACAGUAAUAGCUGGAUCCGCGCUGGAUUAGCUGGUUGGUAAGGAAACGGCUUACCAAGGCAAGGAUGCAUAGCCGACCUGAGCGGGUGGUCGGCCACCCGGGAGGUGAGACGCAGCCCAGACUCCGGCGGGAGGCAGCAGUAGAGAAUCUUACGCAAUGGGGGAGAGGCUGACAGAGGAACGCGGGGUGAGGGAUGAAGGAGUUCGGAUCGGAAAGCUCUGUUGUUAGGGGGGAACAUAUGUGUAAGUAACCGUGCAGAUCUUGACGGUACCUGGUCAAAAAGCCACGGCUAACUACGUG
rnacentral:rRNA from 1 species